CCGCCCGUCACAUCAUGAAAGCCGGUUGUACCCGAAGUCAAUGUGCCAACCGCAAGGAGGCAGUUGCCGAAGGUAUGGCUGGUGAUUGGGAUG
rnacentral:rRNA from 1 species